rnacentral:rRNA from 1 species
UACGGGGGGGGCAAGCGUUGUUCGGAAUUACUGGGCGUAAAGCGCGUGCAGGCGGUCGAGUAAGUCGGUUGUGAAAGCCCCAGGCUCAACCGGGGAACUGCAUCCGAAACUGCUCGGCUAGAGUCCCGGAGAGGGAGGCGGAACUCCCAGUGUAGGGGUGAAAUCCGUAGAUAUUGGGAAGAACACCGGCGGCGAAAGCGGCCUCCUGGACGGUGACUGACGCUGAGACGCGAAAGCGUGGGGAGCAAACAGG